GAUGAACGCUGGCGGCGUGCCUAAUACAUGCAAGUCGAGCGAACAGACGAGGAGCUUGCUCCUCUGACGUUAGCGGCGGACGGGUGAGUAACACGUGGAUAACCUACCUAUAAGACUGGGAUAACUUCGGGAAACCGGAGCUAAUACCGGAUAAUAUAUUGAACCGCAUGGUUCAAUAGUGAAAGACGGUUUUGCUGUCACUUAUAGAUGGAUCCGCGCCGCAUUAGCUAGUUGGUAAGGUAACGACUUACCAAGGCAACGAUGCGUAGCCGACCUGAGAGGGUGAUCGGCCACACUGGAACUGAGACGCGGUCCAGACUCCUACGGGAGGCAGCAGUAGGGAAUCUUCCGCAAUGGGCGAAAGCCUGACGGAGCAACGCCGCGUGAGUGAUGAAGGUCUUCGGAUCGUAAAACUCUGUUAUUAGGGAAGAACAAAUGUGUAAGUAACUAUGCACGUCUUGACGGUACCUAAUCAGAAAGCCACGGCUAACUACGUG
rnacentral:rRNA from 1 species